rnacentral:lncRNA from 1 species
GGCCGGAGCUGGCUGAGGGGCCUCACCUGCUCGAACUCGUCGGUGAUGGUCUUGGGCUCCUCGUGCCUCUGGAACCACAUCAUGUACUUGGUGUGGAACCGCCACGACUGCUUCUUCAGGGCCUUGGCCGCCAAGUACUGCGCCUUGGUGCCCUGCGGACCGACAAGAGCGGAGGGGAUCAGGGGUGGGGUGGGCACCGGGUCGGGCUGCGGACAGCCCACGUGGGGACAGCAUGGGGCACGGAACAUACCCCUGUUGGCCAGAAGAAAAAUGAGACAGGAGUGGAAAUUGCUUUCAGAGAAGCUUUGCAAAGGAAGAGAAACUAUGGCGCCAUAAGCAGACGAUGAGGAAACCAUGUCAGGCGGGGAAGGGGCAGAGGAUCUGGAGGCGGCACGGCUGGGGGCUGGGGGUGCUGGCUGCUGUGGACAGGCUUGGAGCCAUUUUUGGCUGGAGACUGCAAGGAGAAAACAUAAAUCAGAGCGGGGUGGGCAGGGGGUCCCAGGCCUGCGCAUGCCGAGGGCCACCCAGGGACCGGACACCGAUGCCAGGUGUCUCCACCCCGCCCUGACCAGGGCUUAGCUGGGGGACACAGACAGCAGUCAGUGCUCUGGCUGUCCCUAAGGGUCACUGAAGCCCCUCCAGCAAGUGGCUGCCGGCGUCCCCAGGGCGCGUGGCUGAGGGAACUCGGCUGCUGCACCCACAUGCCCCAGACUCUCCGCCGUGCCGGGUCUGUCUCAGCCUCUGCCCUCGGGGCAAACAGCUCUUCCUCACGCGCCCGCCCAUGCUGGGAGGCAGCAGCAGGGGGUACAGGGCUCACUGGGGGCCGAGGGACUGGAGAAGUGCUGCCCACCCACCCAGGACCGCACUGUGCCCGGUCCCGGCCCAUGGCUUGGCUUUCCUGGCCCCUUCGGAGCUGGUCCAGAGCCCGAGGCCAAGGGCCCACAGGUGCAGGGCGCCUCACCUCUGAGCCCAGCACCAACAAGCAAGCAACAGGCCUGCCAGCUGCUGCAGACCCACCUGGCUGACCUCACUGUCGGUGGAGCGGCCCCUCUUCUUAUCAUCUUCAGAGUUCUCCUGUGACGAGGAACAGAGUCAGAGAGCGGCCACGCCCCAGUUCUGCAGGCAAACCCUGUACCGGCCGCUGCUG